rnacentral:rRNA from 1 species
UAGGGAAUCUUCCGCAAUGGGCGAAAGCCUGACGGAGCAACGCCGCGUGAGUGAUGAAGGUCUUCGGAUCGUAAAACUCUGUUAUUAGGGAAGAACAAAUGUGUAAGUAACUAUGCACGUCUUGACGGUACCUAAUCAGAAAGCCACGGCUAACUACGUGCCAGCAGCCGCAGUAAUACGUAGGUGGCAAGCGUUAUCCGGAAUUAUUGGGCGUAAAGCGCGCGUAGGCGGUUUUUUAAGUCUGAUGUGAAAGCCCACGGCUCAACCGUGGAGGGUCAUUGGAAACUGGAAAACUUGAGUGCAGAAGAGGAAAGUGGAAUUCCAUGUGUAGCGGUGAAAUGCGCAGAGAUAUGGAGGAACACCAGUGGCGAAGGCGACUUUCUGGUCUGUAACUGACGCUGAUGUGCGAAAGCGUGGGGAUCAAACAGG